CCCAAUUGACAUCUCUAGUUAUGGCUGUUACCAUAUAUACCGGAGAAUAUUUGGAAGAAGAAUGAUUUGUUGCUAAUUGUCAAUGAUUGUAUUUUUAAUUUAUUUAGUUUCCUUUUAGAUCAAAUAACUGUAAAUAUAUAUACAAUACACAACACAAUGUAAAGGAGGUUUUUUUGGACAGAAAUUUCACGCAAUUUGUUUGGCCUUUUUGUCAUGGUAUCAGAGCUAGGGUUCUAAGCUCUUACCUGCUGUGAAUCUCACCUCGUUCGGUGUAUUGGGGACCAUCGUCGGUGCCUCUCCGAGAGAUCUCCGUUUCAGGUGUUAGGCGUGUGGGUUCGGUCGCCCUUUUGCGUAUUUCAGGUUCGAUUGUCUUCUGCGUUCGUUUGCCGAUCGUCUUCUGCGUUCGGUCGCCGAUUGUCUUCUACGUAUUUUCAAUUUCUCUCGAAGUUUCAGUAGGUUUUGCCUCUGUUUCUUGGGUGUAUCGUGUAGGUGCCUAGUGCGUUUCUUGUAGUCGGACUGUGGUGGUUGAUUAAUUGUUGUCUGUGGCUCUGUUUCAGUUCCGACUCGUUAAUUUAUUUCAGUUUCAGCACGUGGUUUAAUUUUUUUUGGUCUGGGUUCUUCAUUUGGUUGAAUAAUUUAUUCAUCAUGUCAAUUGAUAAGUUAGACUCAUUUAUUAUCCGCUUUAAUGGAAAAAAUUAUUCAAAUUGGGAAUUCCAAUUCCAAUUAUUUGUGAAAGGAAAAGAGUUGUGGGGACAUCUUGAUGGUAGUGAUCCCGCUCCUAAAGAUGUUGAGGCUUUGUCGAAGUGGGAAAUUAAGAAUGCUCAAGUUAUGACUUGGAUCCUUAGUUCAGUCGAACCACACCUUAUUUUCAAUCUGAGACCUUACAAAACUGUUGUUGCUAUGUGAGAUUACAUUAGUAAGGUUUACAAACAAGACAACACGGCUGGACGAUUUCAAUUGGAGUAUGAGAUGGCUAAUUUCACACAAGGAAGUCUUUCGAUUGAAG
rnacentral:lncRNA from 1 species